rnacentral:rRNA from 1 species
CCCUUAGAGUUUGAUCCUGGCUCAGGACGAACGCUGGCGGCGCGCCUAACACAUGCAAGUCGAACGAGAGAGAGGGAGCUUGCUUCCUCAAUCGAGUGGCGAACGGGUGAGUAACGCGUGAGGAACCUGCCUCAAAGAGGGGGACAACAGUUGGAAACGACUGCUAAUACCGCAUAAGCCCACAGGUCGGCAUCGACCAGAGGGAAAAGGAGCAAUCCGCUUUGAGAUGGCCUCGCGUCCGAUUAGCUAGUUGGUGAGGUAAUGGCCCACCAAGGCAACGAUCGGUAGCCGGACUGAGAGGUUGAACGGCCACAUUGGGACUGAGACACGGCCCAGACUCCUACGGGAGGCAGCAGUGGGGAAUAUUGCACAAUGGGGGAAACCCUGAUGCAGCGACGCCGCGUGGAGGAAGAAGGUCUUCGGAUUGUAAACUCCUGUUGUUGAGGAAGAUAAUGACGGUACUCAACAAGGAAGUGACGGCUACUCGG